rnacentral:rRNA from 1 species
UGGGGAAUAUUGCGCAAUGGGGGAAACCCUGACGCAGCAACGCCGCGUGAAGGAUGAAGGUUUUCGGAUUGUAAACUUCUUUAGCCGGGGACGAAGAAUGACGGUACCCGGAGAAUAAGCCACGGCUAACUACGUGCCAGCAGCCGCGGUAAUACGUAGGUGGCGAGCGUUGUCCGGAAUUACUGGGUGUAAAGGGCGUGUAGGCGGGGAACCAAGUCAGAUGUGAAAUUCCAGGGCUUAACUCUGGCGCUGCAUCUGAAACUGGAUCUCUUGAGUGCUGGAGAGGAAAGCGGAAUUCCUAGUGUAGCGGUGAAAUGCGUAGAUAUUAGGAGGAACACCAGUGGCGAAGGCGGCUUUCUGGACAGUAACUGACGCUGAGGCGCGAAAGCGUGGGGAGCAAACAGG